rnacentral:rRNA from 1 species
AAACCGUUGAAAGGGAAGCGAAUGGAGUUAGCAAUUCCCUCCCCCAAAUCCACUUCUUGCGGCCCGGCGCCUGGGCGCCCCCCAUCCUUUGUAGACGAGUCGUUUGCGUACGCCGCGCGUGGCAAGCGCACUUCUGGCGGGCGAGCGUCUACGUCGGUCUGUGGCGCGCUAAAAAGUCGCGGGGAAGGUGGACCGUCCUUCGGGACGGUUGUUAAGCCCUGCCAACGCCUGGGCCGUCCCAGUCCGUGGAAUAUCGUCGCGACGCGUGCCUCCCUUCGGGGGUUGGCUGGUGUCUCGUUUUGUUGGUCCGGUUGUCGACCGUGGCGGACGGCACGCCUGUGCGCCCAAACCGCUGUCGGCCAACAAUUUGAUGAUCGCACACCACGCGUCGAGGACGUUGACGACCAUACGGCUCUAUCCGACCCGUCUUGAAACACGGACCAAGGAGUCUAACAUGUGCGCGAGUCUCUGGGUGAUCGAAACCCGUGGGCACAAUGAAAGUAAAGGCAGUUUCGGCUGCUGAGGUGAGAAGCGUCGGCCUCGCGCGGGCGCCGCGUCAUCGACCGACCUAUUCUAUUCCUAGAAAGGUUUGAGUAAGAGCGUACCUGUUGGGACCCGAAAGAUGGUGAACUAUGCCUGAAUAGGGUGAAGCCAGCGGAAACACUGGUGGAAGCUCGUAGCGAUUCUGACGUGCAAAUCGAUCGUCGAAUUUGGGUAUAGCGGCGAAAGACUAAUCGAACCGUCUAGUAGCUGGUUCCCUCCGAAGUUUCCCAUAGGAUAGCUGGAGCUCG